GAUGAAGAACGUAGCGAAAUGCGAUAAGUAAUGUGAAUUGCAGAAUUCAGUGAAUCAUCGAAUCUUUGAACGCACAUUGCGACCGCUAGCAUUCUGGCGGGCAUGCCUGUUCGAGCGUCAUUUCAACCCUCGAGCCCCCCCGGGGGCCUCGGUGUUGGGGGACGGCACACCAGCCGCCCCCGAAAUGCAGUGGCGACCCCGCCGCAGCCUCCCCUGCGUAGUAGCACACACCUCGCACCGGAGCGCGGAGGCGGUCACGCCGUAAAACGCCCAACUUUCUUAGAGUUGACCUCGGAUCAGGUAGGAAUACCCGCUGAACUUAAGCAUAUCAAUAAGCGGAGGA
rnacentral:misc_RNA from 1 species